rnacentral:lncRNA from 1 species
AUCUUGUGACGGCGAAUGUGGGGGCGGCUCCCAACAGUCACCCAUCCAUUAGUGGCUCAUGUGUUCUUAAGACAAACUCAGCAGGCUGUACCUGUCCAGAGUGAGUAUAAUGAUCUGUUGCAGUGGAUCCCAGCGUGUGGUGGGUCGGGGUGGGGCCGGCAGAGUUUGGACAGGAGUGCAGAGCUGUUUUGCCAGUUUCUGCUAAAGCCCUGUGGAUGAAGAGCCUGCUAACUCCAAAGAGAUGGACCCCAGUCCUACUCUUAGAGUCCCCACUGCAGAGGUCCAGGCCGAGGAGACUGACCUGCUUAUCCAUGCUACUUAUCAGGAACUGUGGAACCAUGGAGAACAUGACCCUGGCCCUCCCUUCAGGAUCUGCCUGAGAUCUGGCUGCCUCUUGAGACACUAGAGCCCUGGAUUCAAUUGCGGAACAUUAUGUUGGAGAAUAUAAACACUUCUAGACUGUGCCGGCAUUUGGGAAGGAAUAGUCUGUUUUGACUUGAAUGAACAAAGACAUACGUCUCUGGGCCUGGGGAAGGCUUACCAGCUCAGCUCAUCUACUGUCUGGUGGCAAACAUGUCCUGGGUACUGCCACUACCCAGGACACUCUUCCUCACUCUGUCCCUGUCCAGUUACCGCACCCUUCCCUGUCUGACCCCGCCUCCUGUGCCCACUCGCCUCUGGACCCAGAGAUUCUUCUUGUUUGCUCUAUCAUCCUUGAGCCGGAUACAGGGUGAAUAGUUAACCACACUUGGGUUGAAUGGGAUCUUGAUUCUUAUUUCUGUUCCUUGGAAAGAGGGGUCAGACUCGGUGCGUGGCACCCGGCCUGGAAGCAGCACAAGACUCCAGAGUGAUACAUGAUCUGCCUGGAUGGUCCCAGGGGCUCUUUGGAGGUCAGAGCAAGAGGAGCAGCCUGAGCAGGGGGGCUGAGGAGGGCCGGCACUGGAUCACACGCAGGCGUAUGUCUGGAUAGGCAGAGAGGAACCCACUUUUCAUUCCCUCUUCUGUGACACAAAUGCAAGGAACUUUGAAGACACUCUUCGGAGGUUGCAAUCGGAGAUCAGCUUAUCCAAGGGCUUCAUGUCUGAGCUCUGUUGGUCGUGCCUCCUGAGGACCUCUUUCCUCUACUGUAUGCUGAUGACACACCCAUCCGAUGGGAGCUGGAGCCUUGUCUGGUCCUUUCCUCUAUGACCCCACGUGUACAGUUGGAAAUCCUUCCUAAUCAUGCCUUGAUUCCCCCUUUUCGACUACACUCAAAGAUGUUUGAGCUGUUUUAUUUGCAAAAUGGAUGGACAGUUUGUUUAUAUAAAACAAUCCCAGCUUCCUUGUGCUCUAUCUGGUGUGUUUGUAUGGCUCUUCAGUGACUUUAAAGUGGAGCAUUGACCUUGGCCUCUUUGAUUCUCCAUGGUGGAAUAGAGAAGACCUCUUGAGGAUGCUUAAUGUUGCUGAGAUCUUAAGAAGGCUUGCAGACUUCCUCUUCCUCCCUCCUUCUCCCACCUCCUCCUUCCCUAAGCAGCCUCUGCAUUGUAUAAAUUCCUUUAUAUAAAU